UACAGAGGGUGCUAGCGUUGUUCGGAAUCAUUGGGCGUAAAGGGCGUGUAGGCGGUUUGUUAAGUCAUGUGUGAAAUCCCUCGGCUCAACCGGGGAACGACGCAUGAAACUGGCAAGCUAGAGUACCAAAGAGGGGGGUGGAAUUCCCGGUGUAGCGGUGAAAUGCGUAGAUAUCGGCAGGAACACCCAGGGGGAAACCAGCGGACUGGCUCGCAGCUGACACUGAGGUGCGACAGCGUGGGGAGCGAACGGG
rnacentral:rRNA from 1 species